UUAGAGUUUGAUCCUGGCUCAGGAUGAACGCUAGCGGCAGGCUUAACACAUGCAAGUCGAGGGGCAGCGAGAUCAGUGCUUGCACUGAUUGUCGGCGACCGGCGCACGGGUGCGUAACGCGUAUGCAACCUACCCAUUACAGGGGGAUAACACUGAGAAAUCGGUACUAAUACCCCAUAACAUCCAGGGAGGCAUCUUCUUGGGUUGAAAACUCCGGUGGUAAUGGAUGGGCAUGCGUUGUAUUAGUUAGUUGGUGGGGUAACGGCUCACCAAGACAACGAUACAUAGGGGGACUGAGAGGUUAACCCCCCACAUUGGUACUGAGACACGGACCAAACUCCUACGGGAGGCAGCAGUGAGGAAUAUUGGUCAAUGGACGCAAGUCUGAACCAGCCAUGCCGCGUGCAGGAAGACGGCUCUAUGAGUUGUAAACUGCUUUUGUACGAGGGUAAACGCAGAUACGCGUAUCUGUCUGAAAGUAUCGUACGAAUAAGGAUCGGCUAACUCCGUGCCAGCAGCCGCGGUAAUACGGAGGAUUCAAGCGUUAUCCGGAUUUAUUGGGUUUAAAGGGUGCGUAGGCGGUCGGAUAAGUUAGAGGUGAAAUCCCGGGGCUCAACUUCGGAAUUGCCUCUGAUACUGUUCGGCUAGAGAGUAGUUGCGGUAGGCGGAAUGUAUGGUGUAGCGGUGAAAUGCUUAGAGAUCAUACAGAACACCGAUUGCGAAGGCAGCUUACCAAGCUACUUCUGACGUUGAGGCACGAAAGCGUGGGGAGCAAACAGGAUUAGAUACCCUGGUAGUCCACGCAGUAAACGAUGAUAACUCGUUGUCGGCGAUACAGUGUCGGUGACUAAGCGAAAGCGAUAAGUUAUCCACCUGGGGAGUACGUUCGCAAGAAUGAAACUCAAAGGAAUUGACGGGGGCCCGCACAAGCGGAGGAACAUGUGGUUUAAUUCGAUGAUACGCGAGGAACCUUACCCGGGCUUGAAAGUUAGUGACGGAUCUUGAAAGAGGUCUUCCCUUCGGGGCACGAAACUAGGUGCUGCAUGGUUGUCGUCAGCUCGUGCCGUGAGGUGUCGGGUUAAGUCCCAUAACGAGCGCAACCCCUACCGUUAGUUGCCAGCAGGUCAAGCUGGGCACUCUGACGGGACUGCCGGUGUAAGCCGAGAGGAAGGUGGGGAUGACGUCAAAUCAGCACGGCCCUUACGUCCGGGGCUACACACGUGUUACAAUGGCAGGUACAGAGGGCAGCUACCCAGCGAUGGGAUGCGAAUCUCGAAAGCCUGUCUCAGUUCGGAUUGGAGGCUGAAACCCGCCUCCAUGAAGUUGGAUUCGCUAGUAAUCGCGCAUCAGCCAUGGCGCGGUGAAUACGUUCCCGGGCCUUGUACACACCGCCCGUCAAG
rnacentral:rRNA from 1 species